UUGUCCCUACGGGGGGCAGCAGAGGGGAAUUUUGCGCAAUGGGGGGAACCCUGACGCGGCAACGCCGCGUGCGGGACGAAGGCCCUCGGGUUGUAAACCGCUUUCAGCAGGGAAGAUCCAAGACGGUACCUGCAGAAGAAGCUCCGGCUAACUACGUGCCAGCAGCCGCGGUAAUACGUAGGGGGCGAGCGUUAUCCGGAUUCAUUGGGCGUAAAGCGCGCGUAGGCGGCCGCCUAAGCGGGACCUCUAACCCCGGGGCUCAACCCCGGGCCGGGUCCCGGGCUGG
rnacentral:rRNA from 1 species